rnacentral:rRNA from 1 species
CCUACGGGUGGCAGCAGUCGAGAAUCUUUCACAAUGGGGGCAACCCUGAUGGAGCGACGCCGCGUGGAGGAUAAGGUCUUCGGAUUGUAAACUCCUGUCAUGCGAGAACAAGAAAGUGAUAGUAUCGCAAGAGGAAGAGACGGCUAACUCUGUGCCAGCAGCCGCGGUAAUACAGAGGUCUCAAGCGUUGUUCGGAAUCACUGGGCGUAAAGGGUGCGUAGGCGGCGUGGAAAGUCAGAUGUGAAAUCCGGGGGCUCAACCUCCGAAUAGCAUCCGAUACUCCCGCGCUAGAGUGCUGUAGGGAGGUCUGGAAUUCUCGGUGUAGCAGUGAAAUGCGUAGAUAUCGAGAGGAACGCUCGUGGCGAAGGCGAGACCUUGGACAGCAACUGACGCUGAGGCACGAAGGCCAGGGGAGCAAACGGGAUUAGAUACCCUAGUAGUC